CCUACGGGGGGCAGCAGUGAGGACUAUUGGUCCAUGGGCGCGAGCCUGAACCAGCCAAGUCGCGUGAGGGAAGACGGUCCUAUGGAUUGUAAACCUCUUUUGUCGGGGAGCAAAAGACGCCACGUGUGGCGUUCCGAGAGUACCCGAAGAAAAAGCAUCGGCUAACUCCGUGCCCGCAGCCGCGGUAAUACGGAGGAUGCGAGCGUUAUCCGGAUUUAUUGGGUUUAAGGGGUGCGCAGGCGGAAGAUCAAGGCAGCGGUAAACUUGAGAGGCUCAACCUCUUCGAGCCGUUGAAACUGGUUUUCUUGAGUGAGCGAGAAGUAUGCGGAAUGCGUGGUGUAGCGGUGAAAUGCAUAGAUAUCACGCAGAACUCCGAUUGCGAAGGCAGCAUACCGGCGCUCAACUGACGCUCAUGCACGAAAGUGUGGGUAUCGAACAGGAUUAGAGACCCGAGUAGUC
rnacentral:rRNA from 1 species